ensembl:lncRNA
CCUGUUGAGGAGCCUCCUGGCCGCCGAGGAAAACGGCGGCGUCUCGCUGCCCGGCGAGAAGCUGGCGGGAGGCGCUUGCUUUACCUUCGGAGCUGGAGCUCCGUCUCUGGGGGAGAAUAGCCCGCGAUGUGAGGGAAGGACUGUGCUGGGCCCCCGGUCAAGGGCCCGGCAAGAAGGGCUCCGCUUGGCGGAGGGAGGAGCAGCCCAGCGCUGCCGGAGAGCGGAAGGGGCAGAGCCGCGGGCCUGGUGAGCGGCUCCAGUGCUUCCUAAAGGCCCACGGAGGACAGCGCGUGGUCCUAGGCUUACGGACACUCAGGCGGCUCCGAGUGCCCUGAACGAAGUGCCCUGCCCUCAGCCGUGCCCUGAACGAAGCCCAUUUGUUCUCUGAGCUGCCGACUGGCUUUGAUUCGCCAAAGUGGGCCUGGGGCCGAGUUGGGAUCAUGAACUGGGAAACAGCCGACUGCUCCAAGAAAAGAAUCAUUUGGAGCCUUUUAGAACUUGGACGCAGGGGUAAGGAGAACAGUGUGGAAGAGAGAGAGAGACGCUUCGAGAUGACCACAGCUUGGCCUUGGACGUGGGGUAGGGGCGCUAGGGGGGUUAUGAGCAAAGACAUCAGCUGGUUUCCUUCAGGAUACUUUAAUUUGCAAAUCUCUCUCCAUCCCUUCAUCUGUUUCUUCACUAUAAGCAGAGGCUGAGGUGGGGAUUGUGGUGCAAGAGGUUUAUGGGGGGGAUGCUUCAGGAGAAAGCGAAGAUGUCAAGAGCUGGUAGUGGCUUCAAGUCACCCCCACGGCUCUCAGAGCACAAAUUACGUCCAGAAUUGGUCCUGCUGGGAGGCAAGGGGCUGACCUUCUGUCCCCCGCAGCAGAUGGUCAUUAGCACCUCAGGGAAGAGGGCAUACGUGAGCUCUUGGCAGCCAGGAGAUGGCCUCACCGGCUGGUGAAAAACCUGAAAGGGGCACUUUCAGCAUCCACCACAUGUUCCACACUUUUCCAAGGUCUCCUGAACACCCUGUGACUGAAAAAGGGGGUUAUAAAAAACGAGGAAAGGGAUGGAUUUAUUUCUGAGUCAGAUGAUGAAGCAAGUAACCACUGAACUAAAUGAGUAAGACAAGAGUCUGAGCCACAGGUGACUCUGAGGCUGUGUGGCCCCCCACCCCCACCACGUGCAGAUGCCGGUAGAGAGUGGGACUCCCACAGGACUGAAAGUGGGGGGCACACCGACCCCAGCAGAGCUCAUGACCACCCAGUAAAUUGCGAAUUCCUACAUCACAGAGAAAACUGAAGUGCAAACAGGUGAAGAGAAUGUGACAUUAUGAAUCAAAAGGUGAGGAUUUUAAUAAAGGCAGAAGAUGUACGGGUAAUAACAAACUUGACACGCUGAAAGAUUGCAUUGGGACAUCUUAUGAACCAGAAUCGUGAUACCACAUUCACACGUCUUCAGCCAAGUCUUCCAUGGAUCUUCUGCCUUAAGAAGGUGUUUCCUGGCGCUAAGACUGUCCCCCAGCAAUGCUGGCAUGGAUGUACCUUUGAAGGCAAGUGGUUGCUGCUCUUCACUCACCUUUUCCCUCUCUCUGUGUGCUGACACUAACUCCUGCUGGGCUGAAGUUUGGGACCACUGGGGAGGAGUGGAGCCCUACUGAGAAGGGUGACACUCGUGUGGACAGCUCCGAUGGUUGGGACACUGGGAGGAGUGGUUGAAGGACUGGGGUCCUAGUGUGGGGGGGCAUCUCUGAGGUUUCUGUGACUCUUCCCAUCAGAGCCUCAGGCUCCUCAUCUGUAGGACGGGCAUGAUUCCAGCCCCUUGUUCCCACCGCUUAGAGGCCUGAAGAACAAGAGCAGCUGCAUUCCAGGCAUUUGUACCCUUCAGGCUGGCAUUGAGGCAUUUGUUGUGUGGGUGUGGGUUUGGGGAGGUAGAGGUUCAGGAUAGGGGCAGAGCCAGCUCAGCGAAGGAGGGAGGAAAGACAGAAAACUGGUAGGAAGAGGAAACUGGGGAAGGGGUGAUGGUCACAAGUUGCAAAUGGAUAGAUUGUGUUCUGUCCUAUGUGGUAGAAGCUUCUCUUCCUUUCUGUGUAUUUAAUAUCACUAAAGUGAGCCUCAGCCACCAGUGGCUUUGAAUUGGAUAAGGUCAUUUCGUACAAAAGUGUGUGUGUUGAAGCCGACAAGACUGACUUCCCCCAAAUCCAUCGUUGGACCAUCAGUAGAGACCCCUUAGAAAAUGGUUGGCCGGCAGUGGCACUAGGAAGGAAGCGCCAGGGCCCAGGGCAGGAGGAGAAUGGGCUGUGGUGGGAAAACUCCAGAAAGGCUGGUUGGGUCAGGGGGUUGGAAGCCUUCCAAGCUGGGUACAGCAUUCCACCCCAGAAGCCAUAGACAGUGGAGAACUCUUGACUUGGGGCCUGGGGAGGGGUCUGAGCCGUGCUCUGGGGCACUUUUCCACCCCCCAUCUUUGGAGUCACCGUGGCAGUUGAUGAGGAAGCCCAUCCCUGAAACCUAGUCUGCUCUGCAUGUGGACAGUGCCACCUGAUUUGAGGGAGCCACUGCCCGGCCCUCGAAGCCUUGAGUGUCCACAAAGAGAGACAGGGCUGACAAAGCACUCCUGGGGUGUUUUUUGGGGCUCCCCUCUCCCCCAGGCCUGCCACCUGUGGAGUGCGUGCUUCUCCCUGUGGGGACUCAACAGUGAGGGGCUGGGUCCAGCAAGGAUGGAGGCUCCUCCCCUCCAUCUGCCCAGCAGGCUGGCGACAUCUCCUCUCCUGACGUCGGGGUGUUAUCCUCAGCUCCAGGUAUCACACCCGCCACUGUGGAGUAAGGGGCUGAUGAGGUCGUGCCCCCUCACACAAAGUGGUCUUUCCCAGAAGCCCAUCUUUCCUGCAGCCCAGGGUCACCCUGCCCUGGGCCAGGCCCCAACUGAGGGGGCAGGGUGUUCGCAGCUGCUUUAGACCAGUUCCCCAGGCUUGAAGUCCAAGUCUGCAAAGACCCUCCAGCAGCCCCACUUCCUUCAGGAUGGGGUAGCCAUGGGCAGCACCCUGUGAGCAUGUGGGAGCUGGGAGAGGAGAGGUGGCUCCUGCCACUAUGCCCCCGCUGCUGGGCCACCAGCUCUUCGGAACCGAGGCAGCGCCUGCUGUGGGCAAAGCCUCAGGAGAAGAAGGAUUAACUGCAUAGCACACGUUACUCAAGCAGCAGGUUGGAGAAGCUUCCCCAGAGCCUGGUUCCUUUUCUGCUUCUCCGAGUUUUCGCUUCAGGUUUGGCCUGAAGGGCUGCUUCUUGAGGGGCAGAACACCCAGGACAGGCCAGAGAGGGCACCCUGGAGCCCGAGGUCUAUAGCCCUUUGUCCCAGUUCCUUGGGUGAGCACUGUGGGUGCUUCCAUCUCAGUGGGAAGACAGGUUAGCUCCCCAAGACCCAGUGGGCCUUGGAACUAUAGCAGGGUGGCAGUGAGCCCCAGACCAGGCAUCAGGGGCUUCAGGGCCAGCAGACUUGACCUGGCCCUGCCGCUCUCCUGGGAUGUCAUGCCCCUCCCCGCCUCACCCAUCCAGGCCACCCUUCCCACCUCUCACUGGUAGGUUUUAUCUUCUUCCUCCUAAAAGGAACAUUAUUCCUGGAUAUUUAGCGCUUAGUUAUUUGUUUAUGGUUGGUCUCAACCAGUACCACCCACAGUAUGUGCGCUUCCUGAGAUAAAAGCUUUGGAGAAGAGGAAUGGUGUCUACUCAUUCAUCACGGAUGAAUGAGGGGCCUGGGAUGGAGCAGAUACUAAGAUAUCUGAGUGAGGGACUGAGUGAGUGAAUGGAUAUUUCUCCUGCUAGUGAGUGAAUUGUUCCACAUUGCAAGAAAUGAAUACAAGUGAUGACCUUCAUAUCAGCCCCAGCUGUGAGAUCUCCAGCAAGUUACUUUGCCUCCCUCUGUCUCAGUUUUCCCAUAUGUAAAUCAGGCCUAAGCACAGUACCUACCUGUAGGGCCGACGUGGGAUUACGUGAGUUAGUACCUGUCAUGGACCCCAAAUGACACCUGGCAAAGAGGCAACACUCAGUUAUCACUAGUUCUUAUUAUGCUGCCCCUCAUCCCCAGAAGCUUGCCAAAUUGAUGCUCAGGGUGCCUGACUUGCCUGAGGUCACACAGCUGGAAGGAGGCAGAGACAGCGUUUGAACCCUGGUCCAGACACCUCAGAUGAAGAACCCAUUUCUAGGAGGGAAAAGGGGGCUCCUGGCCUGGGGCUGGGCACCCUGCUAGUCCCACUCCCAACCCUGAUGGGACAACCAGCCUGGCACCUGCUGCAGCUGCACUCCCGCCCCCAUAGGACUCUUCCAGAGUUUUAUGAAUUCUGUAAGAUGUACACACAGACUUGAAGGAAUAACGUUGCACUGUAAUAAGAGCUACAGAUUGACAUGAUUCCUCAGAGAGUUCAUUGCUGAUCCUGGUUACCUGAUUGGCCAAACACUUUUCUACCUUUUGCUGCUGUUAGCAGGGGAAGGGGGGACAGCCCAUGCAUGCCCCCUGAUCCCCCCGCAGGAGCCAUGGGUCCUUUUGCUAUUGGUUUGCAGGCGCUUGUAUAUAGUCCACAUGUCACUCGUCUUUUGCAGGUGCUCUAUUUCUCCCACCUACCACUUGUUUAUUACCUGUAGAUCAUUUUUUGACAAGUUUAAUUUUUUUUUACUCAAAUAUCUAACCCAUGCCCUUUUUCGGCUUGCAGAUUUUAUGUAUUAGGAAUAUCUCCUACUGAGAUUGUAAACAGUUUUUUAAGUGUUUACCUUUUAAAACCAUUUGUAGUUUAUUUUCAUUAUGCUAUGGGGUUAUGCUGGAUAGUAUGUUUUCAUAAAAUAGCCAGUUAUUUAGAUAGACUUUUAUACAUAUAGCUGCUGUCAUUUAUUGAAUAUCUUAUUGUUUUUGCUACUGAUUGUGUGGUCAUGGAAUUCUCUUGUAGCUCAGCGGGUUAAUGAUCCAGUUGUUACUGCUGUGGUGUGAGUUCAGUCCCUGGCCCAGGCACUUCCACAUGAAACAGACAUGG